AAUGACUUUGGAAUGCAUAGAAGCUAUAUCACUAUGACACAAGUUGAAGAAAAAGUGGAAUUCAGCCAAAAUUAAAAGCUUUGACAAUCCACUUAUAUUGAAAAAUUGAGUCUUUCAAUACAGAAGCAAGGGAGCUUUUGGAUUCAGCAAUUUCUUUUGAACUCAACAAUAACACCACAUCAUUUCAUCCCAAUAAAUAUGACGCCUGAAUUAGCAUAACACUUCAAUUACAAUAAUGCCAGUUGCAUAGCACACUUCAAAAACUCAAACAAGAUUAAACCAAAGUAGGUUUAGGAGCAAGAAACGACACUCAUACGAAUUCUACAUUACAUUGCAAUCACUCAUUACUAAAGCAUAAAUUGCAAUUGAAAACCUGAAAGCGGUCAUUAAGCAUCUGAAGAUUGUACUGUUUGUCCGCUCGCAACUCCUGCACGGCAUUCGCAUUCUGCAAAAACACCACAAGAGGGGCCGCCCCCUCCUCUAGGGCCUUCAAUCUCGCUACGACUUUCGCUCUCCUCUCAAUCAUAUCUAACAAAAACCCACCCAAACACAUCACAUAAGCAUCAUAUAUAGAGCGCCCAAGGUCAGAAAAGAUGAAAUUUGUAGUUACCUUGAGGGACGUCUUCAGUGUGGUAGAGGCUCUUGUGGAUAUCCAUGGCGUAAUCGACCAUGUUAGUUUUGCUCAAGAGCUCGAUUUUGGAUUUGAAGAUCUGUUCCUCUGGGUAUAGCUGUCGUUCUUGGAGAAACUCCAAGAGAGGGAACACCAGGUGCCCGUCUAGAUUCGGUGCAAUUCUCGGAGUUAGAUCGUAAGUAGCCAUUGUUGCUCUGGGGUGGUGCUGAUGUUCGUAUUUCCUCCGUAUAGAAGGUGGGGAAAGGAGAGAGAUAGAAUUAGGGUAUUUUAGGUAGUCAUGUAGUUGGUUGGAGCCAAUAUAAAAGCCAUCCCUUCUACUUUAUAUAUAUAUAUUUUUUCUUCUUCCGUCUACACCACCUAGCUAAUCUUACUGUACUUCUUCUACACGCUACUCUUUCUCUACUCUCCUUCCCGCCGCUUCUUCGUUAGGGUUUUUCCUCUCCCUUUCUUCGUUAGGGUUUUUCCUCUCGAUUUCUUCUUCUUCUUCCUCCUGAUGGACACAUUCACAUUUCUCUUAGCAGUGUUGCUCAUAUUAGCCUUCGUGUCAUUUUCCUCCGUAUCAUGUUGCAUUUACCUAUUGAGGAGGGACCUGAAGAGGUCCCCUCAUUUCCUUCCCAACAAAGUCAACUCCCCUCCUCUGCUUUCUGUCACCAUCAGCUCCCCUCCUUCCUAACAAGGCUCCUAUGAGUUAACACCAUUAACUAACAGGUAGGAGGACUUCUCAGUGAGUCCUGAGUUAACACCCAUAGUGUUAAAUCAGCCUAAGGUUUCUUUUAUGUUCAACCCUGAUCAACGCCCUCCUGAAGCUCCAAGAGAGAAAAUUUAUUGCCAAAGUGCUUCCUCAUCUUCCUUUCCUCCACAACCGUUGGGAUAUCUCUUCAGUUUGCAUGAUUGGAUGCUUUGGUCAUGAAGGGAAUGGAGGUUUAUUUGUAAAGAGGUUUAUUUUGUACCAGGGAAAUAGGAUUUAUUUUGUACAAGGGGAAUGGGGUUUUAUGGUCCUCAAUCCGAUGAAUUUGUAUUGUUGUGUUUUUCAUGUAUAGAAGAACUUUUUUGUGUAAUGGAUAAUAUGUUUCUUAAAGGAAUGGGGGGUUUAUUUUGUAUAAGGGGAAUGAGGUUUAUUUUGUACCAGGGAAAUGGGAUUUAUUUUGUACCAGAAGUUCCCUUAGUUGAGGCUGGGGCUCACUAUAAAACCUCAUACUCCUGGGUUAUAAACCCCAUUUCCCUGGUACAAAAUAAACCUCAUUCCCCAGGUACAAAAUAAACCCCCAUUCCCUUGGUACAAAAUAAAUCCCCAUUCCCUUAAGAAACAUAUUAUCCAUUACACAAAAAAGUUCUUCUAUACAUGAAAAACACAAAAAUACAAAUUCAUCAGAUUGAGGACCAUAAAACCCCAUUCCCUUGGUACAAAAUAAACCCUAUUUCCCUGGUACAAAAUAAAUCUCAUUCCCCUGGUACAAAAUAAACCCCCAUUCCCUUCUUGACCAAAGCAUCCUAUCAUGCAAAUUGGAGAUAUCCCAACGUCCAUGGGUGUUGUGAAGAAAAAGCACACUCUUCAAGCCACGGCUGUGGAGGAAAGGAAGAUGAGGAAGCACUUUGGCAAUAAAUUUUCUCUCUUGGAGCUUCAGGAGGGCUUCGAUCAGGGCUGAACAUAAAAGGAACCUUAGGCUGAUUUAACACUAUGGGUGUUAACUCAGGGCUCACUGAGAAGUCCUCCUACCUGUUAGUUAAUGGUGUUAACUCAUAGGAGCCCUGCUGGGAAGGAGGGGAGCUGACGGUGACAGGAAGGAAAGGAGGGGAGCUGACUUUGUUGGGAAGGAAAUGAGGGGACCUCUUCAGGUCCCUCCUCAACAGGUAAAUACAACAUGAUAUGGAGGAAAAUGACACGAAAGCUAAUAUGAGCAACACUGCUAAGAGAAAUGUCAUUGGAUCCAUCAGGAGGAAGAAGAAGAAGAAAUGGAGAGGAAAAAUCCUAACGAAGAAGCAGCGUUAAGGAGAGUAUAGAAAGAGUAGCGUGUAGAAGUAGAGUAAGAUUAGCUAGGUUGUAGACGGAAGAAGAAAAGAGAGAAAUAUAAAGUAGCUAGAUAUAGUGCCUCAAUCUGCUUUGGACCAAUCUGACAAUGAAGCAUUACCACCAUUUCAUGAGUGCAUUCUUGAGAGUAAGAAUAACUAUAUAUCUUAACCAACAAACCCUAACGUCAUUUUAUGAGUGCAUUCUCAAGAGUAAGAUAACCAAAUCUCUUAACCAACAAACCCCUCCCAAAAAAAGUAGCAGUAGGAGGGGGGAUUUAGGAAGAAAAGAAUUACUUGAAGGUAACGUCCAAGAACUUCUGUGAUGAAAUUAUGCAAGAGACUUAUCAAUAGCAACACCAAUGUGCAAUCAUUGGAUGAUUUGGAUCUGAUAAUGACUUUGGAAUGCAUAGAAGCUAUAUCACUAUGACACAAGUUGAAGAAAAAGUGGAAUUCAGCUAAAAUUAAAAGCUUUGACAAUCCACUUAUAUUGAGAAAUUGAGUCUUUCAAUACAGAAGCAAGGGAGCUUUUGGAUUCAGCAAUUUCUUUUGAACUCAACAAUAUCGCCACAUCAUUUCAUCCCAAUAAAUAUGACGCCUGAAUUAGCAUAACACUUCAAUUACAAUAAUGCCAGUUGCAUAGCACACUUCAAAAACUCAAACAAGAUUAAACCAAAGUAGGUUUAGGAGCAAGAAACGACACCCAUACCAAUUCUACAUUACAUUACAAUCACCCAUUACUAAAGCAUAAAUUGAAAUUGCAAACCUGGAAGCGGUCAUUAAGCAUCUGAAGAU
rnacentral:lncRNA from 1 species